GAGGAUUUAGCUCAGUGGUAGAGCGCUUGCCUAGCAAGCAUAAGGCCCUGGGUUCAGUCCCCAGCUCC
rnacentral:tRNA from 1 species